AUGCGGCCAGCCGUCAGCACGCUUCCCUGGCACCCACGAGAGAUGUGUGAGCAGGCUUUGAACAACAUGGUCCUCAAGCCGCAGACGGGCCUUGUUUCUCUAACCCUUUGCUCCUGUGGCAGCUGGGAUCGUGGGCGGCCGGCCGGUCCAGCUCUUCUGACAGCCCUGCCUAUGAACCAGAUCCCGGGGGGCACAGAGCAAUGGGACACGGCACACACGUGCCCACAUGUGCACACGCAUGCACACACGUGCACACACACUCGCAAAGGUGCUCCUACACGAAUGCUCAGCUGCCAGCCUGCUUCGUGGGCCUCAAACCCUUCAAAAACACCAGGAGCACCCUCAUCGCGGGUACCCAUGACGUCACCAAUUGGCUGACCAGGAUGUCCUGAAAAGGAAGUUUUGGAGCCUGCGUUGUGACACAGCAGUUUGAGCUACCACCUGUGAUGCCGGCAUCCCAUAUAUACCUCUCUCUCCUGUCACUCUGCCUUUCAAAUAAAUCUUUGUUGUACAGUGUUCCA
rnacentral:lncRNA from 1 species